rnacentral:rRNA from 1 species
UUACUGCUAUCGGUGUUCGCCUAAGCCAUGCGAGUCAUAUGUAGCAAUACAUGGCGUACUGCUCAGUAACACGUGGAUAACCUGCCCUUGGGUCCGGCAUAACCCCGGGAAACUGGGGAUAAUUCCGGAUAACGCACAUAUGCUGGAAUGCUUUAUGCGUAAAAUGGAUUCGUCUGCCCAAGGAUGGGUCUGCGGCCUAUCAGGUAGUAGUGGGUGUAAUGUACCUACUAGCCGACGACGGGUACGGGUUGUGAGAGCAAGAGCCCGGAGAUGGAUUCUGAGACAUGAAUCCAGGCCCUACGGGGCGCAGCAGGCGCGAAAACUUUACAAUGCGGGAAACCGUGAUAAGGGGACACCGAGUGCCAGCAUCAUAUGCUGGCUGUCCAGAUGUGUAAAAUACAUCUGUUAGCAAGGGCCGGGCAAGACCGGUGCCAGCCGCCGCGGUAACACCGGCGGCCCGAGUGGUGAUCGUGAUUAUUGGGUCUAAAGGGUCCGUAGCCGG